GAGUUUGAUCCUGGCUCAGGAUGAACGCUGGCGGCGUGCUUAACACAUGCAAGUCGAGCGAAGCACUUUGUCUGAUUUCUUCGGAUUGAAGACACUGUGACUGAGCGGCGGACGGGUGAGUAACGCGUGGGUGACCUGCCCCAUACCGGGGGAUAACAGCUGGAAACGGUUGCUAAUACCGCAUAAGCGCACAAGGCUGCAUGGCCUAGUGUGAAAAACUCCGGUGGUAUGGGAUGGGCCCGCGUCUGAUUAGGCAGUUGGCGGGUAACGGCCCACCAAACCGACGAUCAGUAGCCGGCCUGAGAGGGCGGA
rnacentral:rRNA from 1 species